GCGCCUCAGCGUCAGUUACUGACCAGAAAGCCGCCUUCGCCACUGGUGUUCCUCCACAUCUCUACGCAUUUCACCGCUACACGUGGAAUUCCGCUUUCCUCUUCAGUACUCAAGUUCCCCAGUUUCCAAUGACCCUCCCCGGUUGAGCCGGGGGCUUUCACAUCAGACUUAAGGAACCGCCUGCGCGCGCUUUACGCCCAAUAAUUCCGGACAACGCUUGCCACCUACGUAUUACCGCGGCUGCUGGCACGUAGUUAGCCGUGGCUUCCUCCUCUGUUACCGUCAGGGCCUGAGCAUUCCAGUCACAGGCUUGUUCGUCACAGAAGACAGAGUUUUACAACCCGAAGGCCGUCAUCACUCACGCGGCGUUGCUCCAUCAGGCUUGCGCCCAUUGUGGAAGAUUCCCUACUGCUGCCUCCCGUAGGAGUCUGGGCCGUGUCUCAGUCCCAGUGUGGCCGGUCACCCUCUCAGGUCGGCUACGCAUCGUCGCCUUGGUGGGCCGUUACCCCACCAACUAGCUAAUGCGCCGCGGGUCCAUCUGACAGUGAGGCAGAAGCCUCUUUCCCUCCAAGACCAUGCGGUCAAGGAGCCUAUCCGGUAUUAGCACUCGUUUCCAAGCGUUAUCCCAGUCUAUCAGGCAGGUUACCCACGUGUUACUCACCCGUCCGCCGCUAGGCUCCGAAGAGCCCCGCUCGACUUGCAUGUAUUAGGCACGCCGCCAGCGUUCGUCCUGAGCCAGGAUCAAACUC
rnacentral:rRNA from 1 species